rnacentral:lncRNA from 1 species
AAAUGCUCUCAGCUGCACUAUACCAAAUCAAAGCUGAGAUGAAUAAUGAACUUAAUUUUCCAUAAAGACAUUCUGUUUGGCAUUCCAGCUAAUAAGGUUCCACAAGAUGAAUGGACAGGGUACACCCCACGAGGUAAAGAUGAUGAAAUUCCAUGCCGAAGAAUGCGGAGUGGCAGUUAUAUCAAGGCCAUGGGGGAUGAAGACAGUGGAGACUCAGACACGAGUCCUAAGCCUUCUCCAAAAGUUGCUGCGCGGAGAGAAAGCUAUCUCAAGGCUACUCAGCCAUCCCUUACAGAACUCACCACACUCAAUAAAACCGUAUUUUUAAGAAGUUAGGCCAAAUAACCGAAUGGAACGACUGGGCCCACCACCACUAUCCCCCACUAGCCCGUUUCAUAAGAGACAUCAUCUCCAGGAGCGAGAGGCAAAGCAGCGGUGAGCAAGCCAGCCCUUCCAGCAGGACGAAUAUGUCACCUUUCCAUGACACAGCUCCUGCCAUCUGAAACAGAACCCCUCAGACAUCCCAGACACAGUCUCUCCUAAAUGGGCUAAGAAAAGGCAUCACUAGUAUUCCAUCCAUCUAUCAUGUCCUAUAUGAUACUCACACCAUAACGACUUCUCAGCACCCCUGCCUCUAAGACUCCACAGUUACCACAAGUCCUGCCGUCACUGACCAUUACACAUUCUUCCUCUUGAAUUACCUUGUCACUAACGAGAAAAGGCUUUGGGUACCUGGCAGACCCAGGUUGAACUUGACCAGGCUUUUGCUAAGUC